rnacentral:misc_RNA from 1 species
GAUGAAGAACGUAGCGAAAUGCGAUAAGUAAUGCGAAUUGCAGAAUUCAGUGAAUCAUCGAAUCUUUGAACGCACAUUGCGCCCGCUAGUAUUCUGGCGGGCAUGCCUGUUCGAGCGUCAUUUCAACCAUCAAGCCCUGCUUGUGUUGGGGUCCUGCGGCUGCCCGCAGGCCCUGAAAACCAGUGGCGGGCUCGCUAGUCACACCGAGCGCAGUAGCACAUCUCGCUCAGGGCGUGCGGCGGGUUCUUGCCGUAAAACACCCCCUUUUUACCAAGGUUGACCUCGGAUCAGGUAGGAAUACCCGCUGAACUUAAGCAUAUCAAUAAGCGGAGGA